rnacentral:rRNA from 1 species
CCUACGGGAGGCAGCAGUGGGGAAUAUUGGACAAUGGGGGCAACCCUGAUCCAGCCAUGCCGCGUGUGUGAAGAAGGCCCUCGGGUUGUAAAGCACUUUCAGUGAGGAAGAACGCCUGGUGGUUAAUACCCAUCAGGAAAGACAUCACUCACAGAAGAAGCACCGGCUAACUCCGUGCCAGCAGCCGCGGUAUUACGGAGGGUGCGAGCGUUAAUCGGAAUUACUGGGCGUAAAGCGCGCGUAGGUGGCUUGAUAAGCCGGUUGUGAAAGCCCCGGGCUCAACCUGGGAACGGCAUCCGGAACUGUCAAGCUAGAGUGCAGGAGAGGAAGGUAGAAUUCCCGGUGUAGCGGUGAAAUGCGUAGAGAUCGGGAGGAAUACCAGUGGCGAAGGCGGCCUUCUGGACUGACACUGACACUGAGGUGCGAAAGCGUGGGUAGCAAACAGGAUUAGAUACCCUAGUAGUC